rnacentral:rRNA from 1 species
AUUGAACGCUGGCGGCAGGCCUAACACAUGCAAGUCGAGCGGCUGAACCGUGCUUGCUCCUGGUUUCAGCUUCGGACUGGUGUGUAAUUCCUAUGUAUCUCCCUGGUUGUUUUUUAUUACGUCCGUAAACGGGCGCUAAUACCCCAUACGUCCUUCUGGUGCACGUUUGUGUUCUUCGGACCUCACGCUAUCAUAUGAGCCUAGGUCGGAUUUGCUAGUUGGUGGGGUAAAGGCCUACCAAGGCGACGAUCCGUAACUGGUCUGAGAGGAUGAUCAGUAAAACUGGAACUGAGACACGGACCAGAGUCCUACGGGAGGAAGCAGUGGGGAAUAUUGGACAAUGGGCGAAAGCAUGAUAAAGCAAUGCCGCGUGUGUGAAGAAGGUCUUCGGAUUGUAAAGAACUUUAAGUGGGGAGGAAGGGAAGUAAGUUAAUACCUUGAUGUAUUGACGUUAACAAAAGAAUAAGCAACGGCUAACUACGUG